CCUACGGGAGGCAGCAGUGGGGAAUUUUGGACAAUGGGCGCAAGCCUGAUCCAGCAAUGCCGCGUGAGUGAAGAAGGCCUUCGGGUUGUAAAGCUCUUUUGUCAGGGAAGAAACGGUUGGGGCUAAUAUCCUCGGCUAAUGACGGUACCUGAAGAAUAAGCACCGGCUAACUACGUGCCAGCAGCCGCGGUAAUACGUAGGGUGCAAGCGUUAAUCGGAAUUACUGGGCGUAAAGCGUGCGCAGGCGGUUUUGUAAGUCUGUCGUGAAAGCCCCGGGCUUAACCUGGGAAUUGCGAUGGAGACUGCAAGGCUUGAAUCUGGCAGAGGGGGGUAGAAUCCCACGUGUAGCAGUGAAAUGCGUAGAGAUGUGGAGGAACACCGAUGGCGAAGGCAGCCCCCUGGGUCAAGAUUGACGCUCAUGCACGAAAGCGUGGGGAGCAAACAGGAUUAGAUACCCUGGUAGUCCACGCCCUAAACGAUGUCUACUAGUUGUCGGGUCUUAAUUGACUUGGUAACGCAGCUAACGCGUGAAGUAGACCGCCUGGGGGAGGUACGGUCGCGAGAAGUUAAACGUUAAAGUAAAGUUAGUACGGCGUGAGACGUAGACCGACGGACGACGACGAGGGAGGAGG
rnacentral:rRNA from 1 species